rnacentral:rRNA from 1 species
UACGGAGGGGACAAGCGUUGUUCGGAAUCAUUGGGCGUAAAGCGGGUGUAGGCGGCUUGGCAAGUCGGGUGUGAAAUCCCUGGGCCCAACCCAGGAACUGCACUCGAAACUGCCUCGCUAGAGUCCCGGAGAGGGUGGCGGAAUUCCCGGUGUAGAGGUGAAAUUCGUAGAUAUCGGGAGGAACACCAGUGGCGAAGGCGGCCACCUGGACGGUGACUGACGCUCAGACCCGAAAGCGUGGGGAGCAAACAGGAUUAGAAACCCGGGUAGUCC